CCUACGGGAGGCAGCAGUGGGGAAUAUUGCACAAUGGGCGAAAGCCUGAUGCAGCAACGCCGCGUGAGCGAUGAAGGCCUUCGGGUCGUAAAGCUCUGUCCUCAAGGAAGAUAAGGACGGUACUUGAGGAGGAAGCCCCGGCUAACUACGUGCCAGCAGCCGCAGUAAUACGUAGGGGGCUAGCGUUAUCCGGAAUUACUGGGCGUAAAGGGUGCGUAGGUGGUUUCUUAAGUCAGAGGUGAAAGGCUAGGGCUCAACCGUAGUAAGCCUUUGAAACUGGGGAACUUGAGUGCAGGAGAGGAGAGUGGAAUUCAUAGUGUAGCGGUGAAAUGCGUAGAUAUUAGGAGGAACACCAGUUGCGAAGGCGGCUCUCUGGACUGUAACUGACACUGAGGCACGAAAGCGUGGGGAGCAAACAGGAUUAGAUACCCGAGUAGUC
rnacentral:rRNA from 1 species